CCUACGGGUGGCAGCAGUGGGGAAUAUUGCACAAUGGGGGAAACCCUGAUGCAGCGACGCCGCGUGAGUGAAGAAGUAUUUCGGUAUGUAAAGCUCUAUCAGCAGGGAAGAAGAAAGACGGUACCUGACUAAGAAGCCCCGGCUAACUACGUGCCAGCAGCCGCGGUAAUACGUAGGGGGCAAGCGUUAUCCGGAUUUACUGGGUGGAAAGGGAGCGUAGACGGCUGUGCAAGUCUGAAGUGAAAGCCCGGGGCUCAACCCUGGGACUGCUUUGGAAACUGUGGGGCUGGAGUGCUGGAGGGGUAAGUGGAAUUCCUAGUGUAGCGGUGAAAUGCGUAGAUAUUAGGAGGAACACCAGUGGCGAAGGCGGCUUACUGGACAGUAACUGACGUUGAGGCUCGAAAGCGUGGGGAGCAAACAGGAUUAGAUACCCGAGUAGUC
rnacentral:rRNA from 1 species